AUCCGGCUGACGAGUCCCAAAUAGGACGAAACGCGCGUCCUCGAU
rnacentral:hammerhead_ribozyme from 1 species